rnacentral:tRNA from 1 species
GAGGUAAUAGCUCAGUGGUAGAGUGCAUGCUCAGCAUGCAUGAGGUCCUGGGUUCAAUCCCCAGUACCCCCA